rnacentral:rRNA from 1 species
CAGAUUGAACGCGUGGCGGCAGGCUAACACAUGCAAGUCGAGCGGGGAGUAGGGUGCUUGCACCUGAUUCCUAGCGGCGGACGGGUGAGUAAUGCUUAGGAAUCUGCCUAUUAGUGAGGGACAACGUUCCGAAAGGGACGCUAAUACCGCAUACGUCCUACGGGAGAAAGCAGGGGAUCUUCGGACCUUGCGCUAAUAGAUGAGCCUAAGUCGGAUUAGCUAGUUGGUGGGGUAAAGGCCUACCAAGGCGACGAUCUGUAGCGGGUCUGAGAGGAUGAUCCGCCACACUGGGACUGAGACACGGCCCAGACUCCUACGGGAGGCAGCAGUGGGGAAUAUUGGACAAUGGGGGCAACCCUGAUCCAGCCAUGCCGCGUUGUGUGAAGAAGGCCUUUUGGUUGUAAAGCACUUUAAGCGAGGAGGAGGCUUACCUGGUUAAUACCCGGGAUAAGUGGACGUUACUCGCAGAAUAAGCACCGGCUAACUCUGUGCCAGCCGCCGC